AUUGAACGCUGGCGGCAUGCUUUACACAUGCAAGUCGAACGGUAACAGGCCUUCGGGUGCUGACGAGUGGCGAACGGGUGAGUAAUGCAUCGGAACGUACCCAGAGGUGGGGGAUAACGCAGCGAAAGCUGUGCUAAUACCGCAUGUGAUCUGAGGAUGAAAGCGGGGGACCGAGCAGCAAUGUUUGGCCUCGCGCCUUUGGAGCGGCCGAUGUCGAAUUAGCUAGUUGGUGGGGUAAAGGCCUACCAAGGCGACGAUCCGUAGCUGGUCUGAGAGGACGACCAGCCACACUGGGACUGAGACACGGCCCAGACUCCUACGGGAGGCAGCAGUGGGGAAUUUUGGACAAUGGGCGCAAGCCUGAUCCAGCAAUGCCGCGUGCGGGAAGAAGGCCUUCGGGUUGUAAACCGCUUUUGGCAGGAACGAAACGGUGUCCGCUAAUACCGGGCGCUAAUGACGGUACCUGCAGAAUAAGCACCGGCUAACUACGUG
rnacentral:rRNA from 1 species